AUUGUGAUGGCACUUUUAUUAUUUCCCUUCGCAUGUUAUUGUUCCAGUUAAUUAUAUUGAGUUCACUGCCCACAUGCCCCUGCAAUUUCGAUCCCCCCCCCCCCUUUCAUCGCGCGUAUGACGCAACGUGACAACAUGAAAGGGCUUCCUGUUCUCUGUUUCUCUCCGAUUGUCCGAUCUGGUAUUCUGCUGGUCUAGAGCUGUUCUACAAUAUUAAAUCCGUAUUAAUCCUGUUGUUGGAAUUAUCAAUCCACACUUGAAAGUAAGUCAACUAUUACUUUAUUAUCAUAUUAUUGUCUUUGUAUUGUCAUGUUUUCGUUAAUUGCGGCUAAAUUAUGUUUAUUAUUGAUCUUUGUCAUCAAGUGUAUUCCCGACUCUCCCGUGGGUAUUUAUGAUUGUCUCUAUACGAAUUUGUCAUAGUGUUUUAUUGAGGAUGUCCUCAUUAGCAGGCAUUUAUAAGAGCCUCUGGGGGUUGCAUCUCUGUGGGAUAAAUAUGUAUUUUAUAGCGACUGGACGCUUUUCGACCAUAGGCAACGCGCUGCAGUGCAUGUGUAUGAUUCUACAAUCUACAUUUCGGAAUGUUUUUGCCACUUUUGGCGUCUCACAUUCGGG